rnacentral:rRNA from 1 species
GACGAACGCUGGCGGUGUGCUUAACACAUGCAAGUCGAACGGUAAGGCCCUUUCGGGGGUCCCCGAGUGGCGAACGGGUGAGUAACAUGUGAGUAACCUGCCCUCAUCUCUGGGAUAACAGUCGGAAACGGUUGCUAAUACUGGAUAUGAGCUUGCAAGGCAUCUUGUGGGUUGGAAAGAUUUUUUUGGUUGGGGAUGGACUCGCGGCCUAUCAGCUUGUUGGUGAGGUAGUGGCUCACCAAGGCUUCGACGGGUAGCCGGCCUGAGAGGGCGACCGGCCACAUUGGGACUGAGAUACGGCCCAAACUCCUACGGGAGGCAGCAGUGGGGAAUAUUGCACAAUGGACGGAAGUCUGAUGCAGCAACGCCGCGUGCGGGAUGACGGCCUUCGGGUUGUAAACCGCUUUCAAUUGUGACGAAGCUUUUUGUGACGGUAGCAGUAGAAGAAGCACCGGCUAACUACGUG